rnacentral:rRNA from 1 species
AUUGAACGCUGGCGGCAGGCCUAACACAUGCAAGUCGAGCGGAUGAAGGGAGCUUGCUCCUGGAUUCAGCUGCGGACGGGUGAGUAAUGCCUAGGAAUCUGCCUGGCAUUGGGGGAUAACGUCCGGAAACGGGCGCUAAUACCGCAUCCGUCCUGAUGUAGAACGUGGGGGAUCUUCGGACCUCACGCUAUCAGCUGACCCUAGGUCGGAUUAGCUAGUUGGUGGGGUAAAGGCCUACCAAGGCGACGAUCCGUAACUGGUCUGAGAGGAUGAUCAGUCACACUGGAACUGAGACACGGUCCAGACUCCUACGGGAGGCAGCAGUGGGGAAUAUUGGACAAUGGGCGAAAGCCUGAUGCAGCCAUGCCGCGUGAGUGAAGAAGGUCUUCGGAUUGUAAAGCACUUUAAGUUGGGAGGAAGGGAAGUAAGUUAAUACCUUGCUGUUUUGACGUUACCAACAGAAUAAGCACCGGCUAACUUCGUG